rnacentral:RNase_P_RNA from 1 species
GCAGUGUCUCGGCUUGUCGCUGGUGCCAACCACCUCUGUCUUUUGAUGAGAGGGCAGGGCACGGGAGGAAAGUCCGGGCAGCAUAGGGCACCCCACUUCUGAAAGUGGAAGCAGUUGGUGACAGCUGGUGUCGGAAGAAGAAAAUAACCGCCUCAUGUAAUGGGGGUAAGGGUGAGAAGGUGGUGUAAGAGACCACCAGCCACUGGGUGAUCAGUGGGCUGUUCCAUCUGGGGGCUGCAAGUUCAUGUAAACCAUCGUCUGAGGGCUGCCCGUCCGAGUAAUACGAUGGAGGGUGGAAUGCUAGAGCCGUAGGGUGACUUGCGGAGUAGAUAAAUGACAGGCAUCUUUCCUUUUGGAAGAUACAGAACCCGGCUUAUAGGGACAGUGCUUUC